rnacentral:misc_RNA from 1 species
GAUGAAGAACGCAGCGAAAUGCGAUACGUAAUGUGAAUUGCAGAAUUCAGUGAAUCAUCUAAUCUUUGAACGCAUAUUGCGCUCUCUGGUAUUCCGGAGAGCAUGCUUGUUUGAGUAUCAGUAAACACCUCAACUUCCAUAUCUUUUUUGAAAUGGGAGUUGGACUUGAGUGAUCCCAACGCUUUUCCUCACCGAAAAGUGGCGGGUUACUUGAAAUGCAGGUGCAGCUGGACUUUUCUCUGAGCUAUAAGCAUAUCUAUUUAGUCUGCCUAAAAAACAGAUUAUUACCUUUGCUGCAGCUAACAUAAAGGAGAUUAGUUCUUGUGCUGACUGAUGCAGGAUUCACAAAGACGGCUUCGGCCGACUUUGUAAACUCGAUCUCAAAUCAAGUAAGACUACCCGCUGAACUUAAGCAUAUCAAUAAGCGGAGGA